CCUCGAAUCAGGUGGGACUACCCGCUGAACUUAAGCAUAUCAAUAAGCGGAGGAAAAGAAACUAACAAGGAUUCCCCUAGUAACGGCGAGUGAAGCGGGAUGAGCUCAAAUUUAAAAUCUGAUAGUCUUUGGCUGUCCGAGUUGUAAUCUAGAGAAGUGUUUUCCGCGUUGGACCAUGUACAAGUUUCCUGGAACGGAACGUCAUAGAGGGUGAGAAUCCCGUCCUUGACAUGGACUACCAGUGCUUUGUGAUACACUCUCAACGAGUCGAGUUGUUUGGGAUUGCAGCUCAAAAUGGGAGGUAAAUUCCUUCUAAAGCUAAAUAUUGGCGAGAGACCGAUAGCGAACAAGUACCGUGAGGGAAGGAUGAAAAGCACUUUGGAAAGAGAGUUAAACAGUACGUGAAAUUGUUAAAAGGGAAACGAUUGAAGUCAGUCGCGUUUGCUUGGACUCUGCCUUACCUCGGUUUGGUGCAUUUCCUUGUGAACGGGCCAGCGUCAAUGUUGUUCGUUGGAAAAGGGUUAGAGAAAUGUGGCUCUUUCGGGAGUGUUAUAGUCUCUGAUCGUAUACAACGGCUGAUAUUGAGUGGUACAGCAUGCUUCGGCGGUGCUUGUGCUG
rnacentral:rRNA from 1 species